CUUAUGAUGUGGUGUCCAGAAUAAAGUGGAGGGUUCACUUCAUUUGUCCUUCCUGCUCCAAUCUCCUUUUCCUCUCCUUCAUUUGACAGUCUUUUUUUUUUCUUCUGACACUGUUUUCUAUCCUUGGCCCCUUCUGCUCUUUUACCUUUCUGCUCUUUCUCCUAUUUUACCUUUGUGCUCCUUCUGAUUCUUUCUGCUCCUUUACCUUUCUGCUCCUUGCUGUCCCUUUCUGCCCCUUUCUGCUCCUUGCUGCCCCUUGCAGGCCCUUCCUGCUUAUUCUCCUACUUUACCUUUGUGCUCCUUCUGCCCCUUCCAGCUCAUUUCUGACCCUUUCUGCUCCUUCUACUUUACCUUUGUGCUGCUUUACCUUCCAGCUCCUUGCUGACCCUUCCUGUUCAUUUCUGUUCCUUUGUGCUCCUUCUC